rnacentral:rRNA from 1 species
GACGAACGCUGGCGGCGUGCUUAACACAUGCCAGUCGUACGGUGAUUCCCUUUCGGGGGUACACGAUUGGAGAACGUGUUAGUAACUCGUGAGUAACCUGCCCACAACUUGGGAAUAACGCUUGUAAACUGGGGCUAAUACUGGAUAUGUGCUCCUGCUGCGUGUUGGUGGUUGGGAAGCUCCGGCGGUUGUGGAUGUACUGGCGGCCGAUCAGGUUUGUGGUGGGGUAGGGGCCUACCAAGGCGGAGACGAGUAGCCGUCCAGAGAAGGUGACCGAGCACAUUGGGACUGAGACAGGGACAAGACUCCUACGGGAGGCAGAAGUGGCGAAUAUUGCAAUAUGGGAGCAAGCGUGAUGCAGAAGCGGCGAGUGCGGGAUGAUGGAGUUCGGGUUGUAAACCGCUUUCAGCAGGGACGAAGAUUUUUGUGACGGUACCUGCAGAAGAAGCACCGGCUAACUACGUG